GGCUCUGUGCGGCUCUGGGCCCACCCGAGCUCUGUCCCUGCAGAAAUAUUACCCGCCGGACUUCGAU
ensembl:miRNA